AUGGCGGAUUCGAGGAAAAGUAGCGAGAAAGCGAUGUUAGCAACCAAUACCAACUCCGAUUUGGUAAUGGGGGCGUCGGAUUUGAAGGAAAAGUUGGUCGAUGGUUCCGACAAGGAUUCAGGCGGACCAGAGGACAAUGUGACGGAUUUGCUGGGGCGUCUCAACCUCACCUCAGAGGAGGCCACGGCUGUAAUCCUCGAAGAUGAGAAUGAAGAGGAUUUGGUGAGCCUGGAUUGGGCGUUGAUAGGUAAGGUUCUGUCCCCAAAUAUCCUCCAUAUCCACACUAUCAUGUCUGCAUUGAGACCAGCAUGGGGGAACCCAAGGGGAUUGUCAGCAAAACCAGUGGGGGAUAAUACUUUUAUUGUGGAAUUUGCUAACAAGGAAGACUUGGAUAGAGUUGUGGGAGGGGCUCCUUGGACAGUAGGUAAACAUGCAGUUCUGUUCAAGAUCUUUGAUCCAAGACUGAAACCGUCUGAAGUUACUUUUGACAGAAUUUCUUUGUGGGCACGAAUCAAGGACCUUCGCUUUGAAUUAAUGAAUAGGACCUGGGGGGAAUCCCUGGGUGCUAAAAUUGGUACUGUAGAGAAGGUUGAUGUAGAUAGCCAGGGUAACUAUCUACGAAUUCGAGUUUCUGUGGAGAUCUCAAAGCCGCUAAUGAGAUGGGUCACCGUUUUUUCAAAGAAGAAGAAAGCUUAUGAGAGGUAUGAAGUGCAAUAUGAAAAAAUUCCACACUACUGCUUCUCCUGUGGCAUCAUUGGCCAUUCUUCACUAGAAUGUUCAACCCCGGGAGAGAGAGGUGAGGAUGGUAAACUUCCUUAUAAUGCCGACAGGCUGUGCGUGAAGGAUGACAAAAAAGAAAAAUAUUUUUACUUCAUGGUCAGGACAGAGUUCACAGUCUAG
rnacentral:rRNA from 1 species